GAUUUGGCUCAUUGCGAUGGAUGAUACACUGUUCCCAUGUCGAACAAGAAGUUAGGUCCCAUCUACGGCGGAAUACUUGGGGGUUGCGCCCUGGGGAAUAUGCGGGUGGCCAAGUUU
rnacentral:rRNA from 1 species